rnacentral:lncRNA from 1 species
UCAGAGUGUAAGUUUUAUAGACCUAUUUAAAAUCUAUUUUUCUGUAACGUAUUGAGUAAUUAGGCCCAUGUGAAAGACUUUGGGUGUUAAAGAGUUAAAGGACUUACCCCAUACAGGCCCAGCAGUUAGGGCUGGACAGGGAAUAAAAUUAUGCUGCAUGAUUUCAGUGUGCCAGGCUGUGCACAUACAUUGACACGGUUAAUUUACAGUCAGGCAAGUGCUAUUAAAAUCUCCCCGUCCCGGCGGGCCACUCGCUCACUGUUUUGGAAUCCUGCCCUUCUGCAGGUACAGGCCUGCUUUUGUGGUCUUGCACAGUCAGCCUGUAAACGAAUAUGUAAAGCACACACACCUUAUUAAUUCCAUGAUAGCCGUUGGUACACAUGAGUGUUGUAAUGCUGUAAAAAUAACAGUGUCACUGACCUUUCUUUCUAAGUUGUAAUUUGGCUAAUGUGGCUAAUUUGGUUAUGGCCUGCUGACGCUGGAUUUGACGAUGCAAAUUAGACCUUGAACUGCUUCACAAACUUGACAGUAAAAUGGACUUUAACCCUGCCAUUCAUUUUUGCUUCAGAAAGCAAAUGUCAAUCAUUUCUCCUCUGAACUUCUAUGGUAGCUUAGCAACAGCCUCUGACCCAUAAAAUGAAACUGGAACUCAAAAGUCUUUUAUUUGGAGGAUUACACUGCUGCAUAGGCUACAAAACAACAACUUAGAAGACUUAGCAGCUGGCAGAAUUACAUGGUCUUUUGCCAGCCAUAUAGUUUUAUUGGAACACAUGAUGUAAAAUAAAGAAUCAUUGCACCCCACCUGAGACGCUGAAAGUCAAUGGCAAAAACACAAAGCAGUCACAUGACCACCAAACUUAGAUCCCCCACCCACCCGUGUUGUUAUUUGUUGGCAGGCGGCGCGGAGGACGAGCGAACGAACGCUGAUGGUAGCGGAUGGAGUAGGAGUUGGAAGAUGGAGAACGGAGUGAACUCGGGAGCAGGUGAACACAGCUGUGGACCGCCAUGGGCUCUCUCUCGCUCUCUCUCUCCUUUUUUCCCCCAUGGCUUCUCUGUUUCGGAGGUUCCGAGGAGACGGCAGGGGCCAGCCAGCGAGUGCUGGAGUGGGCAGGCAGAGGCGGGCUGCUGCGCCCGCCGGCUAGCGGCUCAGCGGCACCGAGGAGGGAGGGAAAUCGAUGCAGAGGAAAGAGGCUGCCAGGGGUCGCCCAAUGCAGCCUCCGGCCGCGGCGCCGUGGGAUUCCAAAACGCUCGCCUAUCCCUCGCCCUACCCACUCCCAGUCAACUCACAUCAGCCUGA